rnacentral:lncRNA from 1 species
CUGAUCCCCCCGGACUUUACGCCCGCGGGUCCACCCGCCCUGUGGCCGGCUCUCUUCCUCGGGCUUGGGCAUUUGGGAAAGACAGGUUCACAGAGUUGUGCGCAUCUUCCAAACACUGACGCCCGCCGUGAUCAUGCCACGCUCGCCAGCGUCGCCACCCGUCUCAUCGGGAGGAGCUCUGAUUGCAGAGCUGCCAGGCGCGCGGUGGUGGGUACAGGUUUCCCCAAGUUCCAGCUUCGCAUCAAAGCUCCCGUUGUCUCACGGGCAGCAAGUGCUGAUCGUUGCUUUUUCCCUGACGCUCCCUUCGUUCGUUUUCAAGGACAUAUCUGCCGGAUACUCACCUCAGAAUAACCCCAGGUUGGCAGGCGAGCCUUCAGGGAAAAGGGACGGAUGCUGCAGGGCGAGAGCCCCCGGCUCCCUCGCAGCCCAGCCGCCCAGCUCUUCCUGGAGACAGACGUGCUCUCCGCAUGCCCAGCAGAAUGCGGAGGGGCUGGGAUUUAAUGAAGCUGAGCGUUUCUGCCUCACCGGGGAUGUUUUGGGGUGAAUCCGGCAUGUCCAGCCCGCUCCUGGCUGCAGGGGACAGUGACCUCCAGGGCCGGCUGGCGCUACACUCCUCUUGCUCAGGCCCGAGCACCUGUAUCCAAUGUCACGUUUGCGCGAGCGUGUCACCCCAGUAGACUGAGUCACGGAGUGACCUCUUCAUGGCACUAUUUUUUCCCCCUUGUUACAGCUGCACGUGCGACAUAUGGAGGUUCCCAGGCUAGGGGUCAAAUGGGAGCUGCAGCCGCCAGCCUGCACCACAGCCACAGCAACACGGGAUCUGAGCCACGUCUGCGACCUGUGCCACAGCUGUGGCAACACUGGAUCCUUGACUCACUGAGUGAGGCCAGGGAUUGAACCGGCAUCCUCGUGGAACUGAUUGGGUUCUUAACCCGCAGAGCCGCAGUGGGAAUUCCCUCUUUGUGUCAUUAUAAAAAUUGUUUUGUCCUCACAGAGCCCUUGAAAUUCUCAGGGACCCCCAGGGACCACAGGAUGAGAACCUGAUCUGUCAUCAUCCGGAGCAGAUUGUUUCAGCCCGAGGGAGUUCUCUCUGGGUGUCGCCCAGGGAUUUGCAUUAGAGUCAUUGCGAGAUGCCUGGGGUGAUGCCAGGGUCCUUGUGAGGGACCAGCUGCGGGUUAAAAUAUAGAUGUAACCAGAUAUAAACCACCUUCCCUCCUCAUCCUCGGAUUUCUGCGAAAUGGGGCUGGUGGCCCCUGUGUGUGGCAAGGAGCACCUGUGGACAGCCUGGCACUUGGUAGGAGCUGAGAACCGCAGCCCUGCUGGGGCGCCGCCUUGGGUGCUAAGUCUGGUCCCAAGGAUGGCGUCGACGAGGGAGAAAUCUGAGCCUUUCCCUUACUGCUAUCAGCUGGGAGUCCCAGAGAGAGAAGAGAUGCCUUUCAG